rnacentral:rRNA from 1 species
CUACGGGCCGCUCCAGGCGAGAAAACUUUGCAAUGUGCGAAAGCACGACAAGGUUAAUCCGAGUGGUUUGUGCUAAACGAACCUUUUGACAGUCCUAGAAACACUGUUGAAUAAGGGGUGGGCAAGUUCUGGUGUCAGCCGCCGCGGUAAAACCAGCACCUCAAGUGGUCAGGAUGAUUAUUGGGCCUAAAGCAUCCGUAGCCGGCUCUGUAAGUUUUCGGUUAAAUCUGUACGCUCAACGUACAGGCUGCCGGGAAUACUGCAGAGCUAGGGAGUGGGAGAGGUAGACGGUACUCGGUAGGAAGGGGUAAAAUCCUUUGAUCUAUUGAUGACCACCUGUGGCGAAGGCGGUCUACCAGAACACGUCCGACGGUGAGGGAUGAAAGCUGGGGGAGCAAACCGGAUUAGAUACCCGCGUAGUC